CUUUACUAUAUUUUAAAAUUAAAAAUAAAGUAUAUCUGUAGAGAAUAAGUGGGAAACUAAUGUAAUAGUUUAUCUUGAAAUACCACUCUUAUAUAUUUUAUUUUUUUAUUAUAAUAUUGUUAACCAAUUAUAAAAAAGUUUUAAAAAGGUAGUUUGACUGGGGCGGUAGCCUCCUAAAAAGCAACGGAGGUGUACAAAGGUCUUUUUUUAAUUUAAAAUAAUUGUUUAAAUUAAAAUUAUAAAGGAAAAAAGGCUUGAUUGCAAGAGUUACUACUCGAGCAAGGACGAAAGUCGGUCUUAAUGAUCCGACAGUUCUUUGUGUAAAGGCUGUCGCUUAACGAAUAAAAGUUA
rnacentral:rRNA from 1 species